UGUAAGAAAGCCCUACAAAACUAAAAGAAAAAAAAUGUAGCCAAAAGCAACUCAGGUGUGGAGACAGCUUAAUUCUUCCACCCCCAGAUCACGAAAGGCCAUGCUAGGGAGGGGUGCCUAAAGUCUUCAAUGAUCUAUUAUGUUAGAGUUGCAGUGAUCAAAUUCACCUGUUAGCUACUAUGUUGAAGUUGUUUGAAACAAUGAGUUAGGAGGGUAUAAAAAACCUAGGUAUGGUGGCAACUGCCCUUUUCAACAGAAACUUUCUUGAAUGGCUGCUGGACUGCAACAGGAGAAGUGUGAUCUGUUUAACAUGGAACCAGUAAUUUUAAGCUGCAGUUCACCACCAGGCCAAGGCCCAAGCACACAUGGGGGGGAACAGAACAAGCAUGUGCCUGCAACACUUUAUCCCAUAGUGAAAGUCCCAAAUAUACAUAGGGGAAAACAGAAUAGCCCUGUGCCAGCAUGCCUUUACCCUGUGGUAGAAG